rnacentral:rRNA from 1 species
CCUACGGGAGGCAGCAGUGGGGAAUAUUGGACAAUGGGCGAAAGCCUGAUCCAGCCACGCCGCGUGAGUGAUGAAGGCCUUCGGGUUGUAAAGCUCUGUGGGGAGGGACGAAAAAGGUGGAGAAGACAACGCUCCGCCCUUGACGGUACCUCCUUAGCAAGCACCGGCUAACUCUGUGCCAGCAGCCGCGGUAAGACAGAGGGUGCGAACGUUGCUCGGAAUUACUGGGCGUAAAGCGCGUGUAGGCGGGUGAUCAAGUCAGGUGUGAAAUCCCUGGGCUCAACCCAGGAACUGCACUUGAAACUGGUUGCCUUGAGUGUUGGAGAGGGAAGCGGAAUUCCUGGUGUAGAGGUGAAAUUCGUAGAUAUCAGGAGGAACACCGGUGGCGAAGGCGGCUUCCUGGACAACUACUGACGCUGAGACGCGAAAGCGUGGGGAGC